rnacentral:rRNA from 1 species
UACGUAGGUGGCAAGCGUUGUCCGGAUUUACUGGGCGUAAAGGGAGCGUAGGCGGAUACUUAAGUGGGAUGUGAAAUACCUGGGCUUAACUUGGGUGCUGCAUUCCAAACUGGGUGUCUAGAGUGUUGGAGAGGAAAGUGGAAUUCCUAGUGUAGCGGUGAAAUGCGUAGAGAUUAGGAAGAACACCAGUGGCGAAGGCGACUUUCUGGACAAUAACUGACGCUGAGGCUCGAAAGCGUGGGGAGCAAACAGGAUUAGAUACCCUGGUAGUCCACGCCGUAAACGAUGGGUACUAGGUGUAGGAGGUAUCGACUCAUCCUGUGCCGCCGUUAACACAAUAAGUACCCCGCCUGGGGAGUACGGUCGCAAGAUUAAA